rnacentral:rRNA from 1 species
GACGAGCACGCCGCGUGAGUGAGAGGUUUUCGGAUCGUAAAGCUCUGUUGUAAGAGAAGAACGAGUGUGAGAGUGGAAAGUUCACACUGUGACGGUAUCUUACCAGAAAGGGACGGCUAACUACGUGCCAGCAGCCGCGGUAAUACGUAGGUCCCGAGCGUUGUCCGGAUUUAUUGGGCGUAAAGCGAGCGCAGGCGGUUAGAUAAGUCUGAAGUUAAAGGCUGUGGCUUAACCAUAGUACGCUUUGGAAACUGUUUAACUUGAGUGCAAGAGGGGAGAGUGGAAUUCCAUGUGUAGCGGUGAAAUGCGUAGAUAUAUGGAGGAACACCGGUGGCGAAAGCGGCUCUCUGGCUUGUAACUGACGCUGAGGCUCGAAAGCGUGGGGAGCAAACA